rnacentral:rRNA from 1 species
UACGUAGGGGCAAGCGUUGUCCGGAAUCAUUGGGCGUAAAGAAGCGUGUAGGCGGCCAGAUAAGUCCGCUGUGAAAUCUCGAGGCUCAACUUCGAGCUGUCGGUGGAAACUGUCUGGCUAGAGUCCGGAAGAGGAGAAUGGAAUUCCUGGUGUAGCGGUGAAAUGCGCAGAUAUCAGGAGGAACACCCGUGGUGUAGACAGCCUUACUGGACCACGACUGACGCUGAGGCACGAAAGCGUGGGUAGCAAACAGGA